rnacentral:rRNA from 1 species
ACACUGAGAGACGAAAGCGUGGGGAGCAAACAGGAUUAGAUACCCUGGUAGUCCACGCCCUAAACGAUGAUCAUUAGCUGAUGGAAGAUUCAUCGGCGCAGCUAACGCAUUAAAUGAUCCGCCUGAGUAGUACGUUCGCAAGAAUAAAACUUAAAGGAAUUGACGGGGAUCCGCACAAGCGGUGGAGCAUGUGGUUUAAUUUGAAGAUACGCGUAGAACCUUACCCACUCUUGACAUCUUCUGCAAAGCUAUGGAGACAUAGUGGAGGUUAACAGAAUGACAGAUGGUGCAUGGUUGUCGUCAGCUCGUGUCGUGAGAUGUUCGGUUAAGUCCUGCAACGAGCGCAACCCUUAUCCUUAGUUACUACCAUUUAGUUGAGGACUCUAAGGAGACUGCCCGAGUAAUCGGGAGGAAGGUGGGGACGACGUCAAAUCAUCAUGCCUCUUACGAGUGGGGCUACACACGUGCUACAAUGGCCGGUACAAAGAGAAGCAAACAGGCGACUGGGAGCAAACCUCAAAAAACCGGUCUCAGUUCGGAUUGAAGUCUGCAACUCGACUUCAUGAAGUCGGAAUCGCUAGUAAUCGUAGAUCAGCUACGCUACGGUGAAUACGUUCUCGGGUCUUGUACACACCGCCCGUCAAACCAUGGGAGCUGGUAAUGCCCGAAGUCGGUUUAUAAAGAAACUGCCUAAGGCAGGACUGGUGACUGGGGUUAAGUCGUAACAAGGUAUCCCUACGAGAACGUGGGGAUG